AGGGGUAUAGCUCAGUUGGUAGAGCGACGGUCUCCAAAACCGUAGGUCGCGGGUUCGAGUCCUGCUGCCCCUGCCA
rnacentral:tRNA from 1 species